rnacentral:rRNA from 1 species
AGAGUUUGAUCAUGGCUCAGGAUGAACGCUAGCUACAGGCUUAACACAUGCAAGUCGAGGGGCAGCGGGAUUGAAGCUUGCUUCAAUUGCCGGCGACCGGCGCACGGGUGAGUAACGCGUAUCCAACCUUCCGUACACUCAGGGAUAGCCUUUCGAAAGAAAGAUUAAUACCUGAUGGUAUGAUGAAAUUGCAUGAUAGCAUCAUUAAAGAUUUAUCGGUGUACGAUGGGGAUGCGUUCAUUAGGUAGUAGGCGGGUAACGGCCACCUAGCCUACGAUGGAUAGGGGUUCUGAGAGGAAGGUCCCCACAUUGGAACUGAGACACGGUCCAAACUCCUACGAGAGGCA